GUGUGGUUCCCUACAAAGAAUUCAAUCCCAGCUGGCACUCUACAUAGAUACAUCAUUACAUGAUUGCACUCUUGUCCAAGAUAAUCAACAACAGUUGGAAUCGGACUGUGCCGGCGUGGCGGUCGCACUUACUAACUAGGUGGUGCACGUGAAUGCAAUGGUACCACCACCGCAGCUGCUACCACAGAUCAGAACGCGUGAAUAAAUGUGUUUCUCGUCACCGGCGCGGUUUAAUCUUCGUUUUCAACACCCGUCCGUUAACUCUGAUCUACUAGCCAACCACAUGUCGCCCGAGGUGGUGGCGGCAUCUAACGCGUUGAUUGAGACACGCGCCACUGCAUAUAAUGAAUAAUUUAUGUUAUUAGUGUUGCACACGGGGAAAGACGUCUUUUUAUGCAGUUUUUUCACUGAUUUUUGCAUAGGUACUCGUAACUUGAACUCAGUAACCUGUCGAAGUGGAGUUCGAGCCACAGACAUGCAUACGUCACUCGUCUUCGCUGACCUAUUUGCUGUUUGAAUCUAAUAUUCGGUGAGUAGCCGAUUAGCUACACUGGUGGCACUUCCAUAAUGUUUUCUUUUGGUUGACAUUUGCUAGAUACUGUCGUUUAUAGUGGCCGAUUGGCCAAAAGCAGUAUUGACCCAUAAUGACAUCGACUAUGAAGCUCCACGUUGGAGAUCCAAUUGUGAGGCCACCAUGAACGAAUUAUUUAUAUAGCGCUGGCAUCUAUUCACAAAGACCUGCAGCCAUUGAUUAUUAUCCACUGAUACACACCAGGCUUCACUGGCGUACAGCAGCAUACAUUUCAUGUUUGGUUUGGAAAUUCGGGAUUUGGAACGGUCGACUAAUCUGACUGUUUUUCAUGCAUUCCUUACACUCGCAAAAGUAGGUCCCGGAUGACCUGUUGGUCGAAGUUGUGGUAACGUGCCUUUUACCGAACGAAAGACUCACCAUCGAGUGUUUUAUUUCGGCCGGACGUGGACUUUGGAUGUUCUCGUUCUCUGAGGACCGUGGAGAAUCAUCCGUAGGAACUUAUUUCGGACUCAUUAAAGUUUUCAGUGGUGGGUUUUGGCACAGCUCUCCCAAACUGGGAGGCCACAUUCGAUUACUAGUAAGAUGAUCUGUUUGUAGACAGCAAGUUUGUUCUUCUGGGACAAAGUCGACUUACAGUUGGUGAGAAGGUAAAGGGCUUUUAGCAAGAUGUUACUUUUGGAGACCGUCUUGUCGAACUAUUUUCUGAACAGCAGUUUGCUGUUUUAGGUGAGGCCAUGAUAGUCAACCACGUUCGACCAUUGCACCAAGGAGGGUGAUUUUUUCAUCCUCAGCUGGAACAAUUCCGAGGGGUACGGAAUGGAUGAAGAGGAUGACCUGGGUGUUCAGCGCGUUUACAUAAAGCUUUCAGCUGGCGAAGUACUCAGUCAGGACAUUCAGUCAGGCUUCUUUCCAGUGGUGACGUGAGCGCUCGUGUGACCCUUGUGAACGACUGCGAUGUCAUCGGCGAACAACAACAGAUCCGUUUUCGUGGAGUUUGGACAUGUCCGAGGUGAACAGCUUGAACAGAAGUGGACCUAGUAUGCUUCCCUAUGGAGCACCGGUGGACACAUCUUGCGCGUCAGAGACUGACUGCAUCAUGCCUUGUGCUAUUUUCAGUAGGUAGCUUGAAAUAUUGUAUCGAUGAUAUUGUAGCUUGUAAAUCAGACCGUCGUGCCAGACCUUGCCAACAGUCUCUUCAACUUCGAACAAGGCCACAUACUUGUUCCAUCUGAGGACGUUUGUGAAUCGGAUCAGUUGGUCUGCAGUGGAACGACCUCGUCGGAAGCCAAACGAUUCCCCAAGCAAUAUAUUAGUUUGGUUGAAGAAGAAGGAUCCUUUCCAGACUUCCGAAUGGGUGUUACUAGCUUACUUCCACGACGGGGGGAAGUAGUUGAUUUGAAGGCACUGAUAAAAAAUCAGUGUCAUAUGACACAUUCCACGUACUUCUACGCCAAGGCACAGUGGCUGAUUUCGUCAUAUUAGCGCGCUUAAUUAAUAACUUUUUUACUAUGAAGUUUAGCGUCAUGGUGUCUUCGGGAAAGUUUUUCACUAUAAUAAGGAGCUUCCUUUGAGCUUCUGUGAAAAAUGAUCCAUCCCCCUAAAAGUGAGAUAGAAAAUUUAUUUUUUGAAUUUUUCAAGAUACGAGGUUGGUGUCUUCACAAAAGUUGUAGAAAAUGUUGUUUGGAGCAACUUUGCCGAAGACACCAAGUUUGUAACUCCGUUACUUUUCAAGAUACGUUACGUUUUCUUUCAUCAGCCCCUUGAAAAAGGUUUUUGCGUAAUAACUUUCUAAAAAUUGAUUCUACAUUUUUCUCGUGUUCUACAAAGUUAUAAAUAAUGGUAAAACACACAACUUUGCCGAGCAUGACAUCCCACUAAUUCCAAAAUUAAAAUAGUUAUAACGGUUUUUAUAGUUUUUGGGCCAUAUUUCAAGCAUAUAUAACUUAGCUAUAGGCAAUUAUAUGCAAAUUUCUUUUUACGCAUGUGAAAGUACAUGUAAUUGCCUCUCUUAGAAAAUCAAAACCAUCAAACUGUAAGAAACUGUAAGAUGGUUUUUGUAUAGAAACUUACAUCCAUUUAUGUUACUCUUAUAUGGGAUUUAUAUAUAUUUUCAACAUAUUUAUUUGAUAUUUCAUAUCAGCUUGCAUUGUAAGUGUGUGUUAAUAUAAAGAAAGGUUUGUGGUGUAUUCUGGAUCAUUCAUGAAGUACGUUACAUAAAAACUUACCAUCUAUUUCUUUUGUCGUACUAACUCAAGUGCUCCACGUAGUCCACGAAAAGAGCGAAUGAAGCCCAUUUCUUUAAAAAAAAUCCAAACAUGCGCGUGACAUGUUCUUUGAACGCUCUCACUAGUACAUAUCUACACAUGUCUACAUGGGUUAUAGUAAAAUAUAAAUUUUAUUGCACUUCAAAGAAAGCUGCUGUUAAAUCGUGAUCCGACGAAAGAUUUUUUACUUUAUGCGUUUUUUUUCGUGAACUACGUGGAGCAUUGUGAGUUAGUAAAUAGAAGUAGAUGGUGAGUUUUUAUGUAACGUACUUCAUGAAUGAUCCAGAAUACACCACAAACCUUUCUUUAUAUUAACACACACUUACAAUAACAAUAAAAAUGCAAGCUGAUAUGAAAAACCAAAUAAAUAUGUUGAAAAUCUAUAUAAAUCCCAUAUAGGAGUAACAUAAAUAAAGGGUGAUACGGUCAAAAUUUGGUCACACAAUUUUUUUCAUAUCUUUAGACUGCGUACACCAAAACAGCUGAUUUUUGGACCAGUAAUGCUACAUUAUAUGUAGCUUAUACCAUAAAAUUUUCAUCAAAAUCGAUUAAGUAUUGGUUGAUAUAUAGAUAAAACCAUCGACCUACCUUUUUAAAAUUUUGUACAAAGGCGCUCCGUAGUAAAUUUUCGAAAAUUUAAAGUCAGUAAAGCACAAUUUUGAUUAUAGAACUACCAAUACUGCUCCGAUUUUUAUCAAAAUUUUACAGUAUAAUACUAUUAUGAAAAUAUGUUCUUAGUAAAAUUUUGAGCCAUUUUGUAGGAAUACUUUCAAAGUUGUAGCAGUUUGAAUAUGAAAAAAACUGACCGGGUGCCACUUAAGCAAAUAUAACUUUGUAACGGCUGGAUCAAAUUGAAUGAAAUUUUUACACAACAUUUUGAUAUGCAUACUUCACAUACAGAAAAAUUUUCAUUGAAAUCGGUUAAGUAUCUCUGGCUCUAUAAAUAAAACACUUAAAAUGUGUGAAUCCUCUUUGCACAAAAUUUUAAAAUUGCAGAUCUCAGGGUUCAACAAUAUAUCCGCAAAUACGAGACCGAUUUUGAUGAAAAUUUUAUGGUACAAGCUACAUAUAAUGUACCAUUACUGAUCCAAAUAUCAGCUGUUUUGGUGUACGCAAUCUAAAGUUAUAAAAAAAAAAUGUGUGACCAAAAUUUGACUUGACAUGGCAAAAUUUGAGAAAACUUUACCACCUAAACAAAUAUAACUUCGUAACGGCUGGAUCAAAUUGAAUAAAAUUUUUACACAACAUUUUGAUAUGUAUACUUUACAUACAGAAAAAUUUUCAUUGAAAUUGGUUCAGUAUUUCUGGCUCUAUAAAUAAAAAAGUAAAAAUGUGUUCCUAUUUUUUAAUCCUCUUUGUACAAAAUUUUAAAAUUGCAGUUUUCAGGAUUCACAAUAUCUCCGCAAAUACUACGAUUUUGAUGAAAAUUUUAUGGUAUAAGCUACAUAUAAUGUACCAUUACUGGUUCAAAAAUCAGCUGUUUUGGUGUACGCAGUCUCAAGUUAUGAAACAUAUUGUGUGACCAAAUUUUGACCGUAUCACCCUUUAGAUGUAAGUUUCUAUACAAAAACCAUCUUACAGUCUCUUACAGUUUGAUGAUUUUGGCUUUCUAAGAGAGGCAAUUACAUGUAUUUUCACAUCUGCAAAAGGAAAUUUGCAUAUAAUUGCCUAUAGCUAAGUUAUAUAUGCUUGAAAUAUGGCCCAAAAAACUAUAAAAACCGUUAUAACUAUUUAAAUUUUGGAAUUAGCGGGAUGUCAUGUUCGGCAAAGUUGUGUGUUUUACCAUUAUCUAUAACUUUGUAGAACAUGAGAAAAAUUUAGAAUCAAUAUUUAGAAAGUUAUGGCGCAAAAACCUUUUUCAAGGGGCUGAUGAAAGAAAACGUAACGUAUCUUGAAAAGUAACGGAGUUACGAACUUGGUGUCUUCGGCAAAGUUGCUCCAAACAACAUUUUCUACAACUUUUGUGAAGACACCAACCUCGUAUCUUGAAAAAUUCAAAAAAUAAAUUUUCUAUCUCACUUUUAGGGGUGUGCUGGCACCACUGCUAAGGGACAGGCGAAAUCGAAAGGUUUGACAGACUUGACAUUAUGAAGACAUCUGUCAAAGCAGAAUGAGACGACAAAAAUAUGAAAACUAAACCAGGUUGGAAGUAAUUAAAAUUGUUCCUUAAAUUUGUUGAAAUUAUCGUUAUAGAAUUACAGCUAUAUUUUCCUUAAAAGUAGUAAACGAAGAAUUGAAUUAAAACUACGUAAGUUACUAUGGUUUGAACUUAAAUCUAGGACGGGCAGAGAACAUUAAUUUAUAAACUAAAAUUUGUUACCUAUUCCUUAGUGAUUUGGAGAAUAGUGGCUUACCACUACCUUAAAUCAAACCAAACUGUAAUUAUCUGGCAUAAUUCCGAUCCAAAAUCGUGAAACUUGUGAGUAUUAUUGAAUCUGUAAAAAACUAGACGCGAUAAAAUUAUUGAAAUCUACAUUAGGCUAGGUAAAAUCAGUCUACAACUACACUGUCCGCAGCACGAGGUUGGCAGAAAUAAACUACUUCUUGUGAGUUACUUUGAUGUUACCUACAUGAACAAUCAAAAUUAUAAUAAAUAAAUAUUUAGUUUUAGCUUCUACAAAAGCUGCUGGAAAAAAUAUAGUGUUUCUGACACCAGUCCGAACAAUUUCUAAAAAAGAAGUAACUGGACCUAACCCCAACGCGAUGACGGAUGGAAACGUAGAUCUCACACUGACUGCUUGCAGUUCCUGUGGGCAAACAUCGGAUACCAACGAGCAGAUGGUUGGCUGUGAUUCCUGCAAAGGUUGGUUCCAUUGUCGGUGCGUCAAUGCCACAGAAGCUGACUUGGCUGAACCGAAGUGGUUUUGCUCCGCGGAUGAGUGUCAACGCCAGAAAAAAGGAACCACAAAAAGGAGCAGCAAGACGUCCAAAAAGGCUUCUGGACAUACGUCGGACUCCGAUAAGACGAGUGUUAAAUCGGACCGCCAAGUUGGACCGCAUCUUUCCCGAAUCAUGCAAACGUUGCAGAAUGAGCAGAAGUCCAAAGAUGAAGAGCUGCAAAUGGAACGGAUCAUGAGAGAGAAGCGCAUCGAGAUGGAUCUAGAGUUCAAGAAAAAACGUAUGGCCAUGGAGAAACAGAUGAGGGACAGAGAGAUGGAAUUGGAGAGGGAGUUGCUUGAACAGUCACUCGCACAGGAAAAGGAGCAUUUAGACCGGCUGAAGCUGAUGAGACUGCAGUAUCGAUCUCAAAUGGAUCAAGUCCAGCAGGAGAUAAAACAGUUGAACACAACGUCCGACGCUGAUGAAACUCCGAAGACAGUUGAUCGGAAUCGAGCCUUUCUAGGAGAGAGCUCUCGAGCGACUUUCGUCAACGCGGAUGCCACAAAUGUAUCUGUUCGAUCGAACUUGUCAAAGUUCAAGCCACUCGCCCCAAGUAAACAGAGUCAUGAAACCGAAAGCGACGAUAGCGAUGAGACGUCUGACAGCGAGUCUUCAGAGGAGGAGUCUGAAGAGGAUGAAUCGGAUUUAGAAGCGGAGAAACCAAGAAUGGGACCGUCCAAGGCUCAGCUGGCGGCUAGAAACGGAAUUACGAAAAGGUUACCCAUUUUCACCGGAAAGCCCGAAGAAUGGCCGUUAUUCAUCGGGGCAUUUGAAGCAUCGACGGAAGCAUGUGGUUUCAGCGAAGUCGAAAAUCUUGUCCGCUUGCAAGAGAGCUUAAAAGGGCCGGCUUUAGAAAGCGUUCGUUGCCAACUUCUGUUGCCAAAAUCCGUUCCUCGCGUCAUAAAGAAGUUGCGUCAGUUAUAUGGAAGGCCGGAGCAGCUGCUCCAAUGCCACCUGGAGCGAAUUCGGAAGUUGGACUCACCGAAGGCGGAUAAGCUCGCAAGCUACGUUCCGUUUGGCAACGCCGUAGAGCAGCUCUGCGAUCACCUCAAGAUGGCCGGACUAAAGGAACAUCUAGUGAACCCUCUUCUUCUACAAGAUUUGGUAGACAAGCUACCGUCUGGUGACAAACGCGAAUGGGUUCGAUAUAAGAAGAAGAAGAAGUCUGUGACGCUGUGUACGCUUUCGAAAUUCCUAUCGAAAAUCGUAGCUGAGGCGUGCGAAGCCAACGUUUCGUUAGAGAUCAAACCAGAUCCAAGGGUUUCUGUGUCGACGAAGGCCACCAAAGGGAUAUCGAAGGGAGCCGUGUUCAACCACAGUUCGUUGGAACCUUCCAAUAAAAGCGACGAUGCAAGACGGUCACAAAAGCCGUGUAUAGUGUGCCAACGCAAUGAUCAUCGUCUGAGAUAUUGCGAAGACUUUAAAAAACUGCCUGCGGCCGAUCGCAUCAAGCUAGCGCAGCAAAAAAAGCUUUGCAAGGUGUGCCUCAACGACCACGGGAAUGCUGAGUGUAAAUUCAAGCUACGUUGUAAUGUUGGCGACUGCCAACAACGCCACAAUCCGCUUCUGCAUCCCCCGCAAACGACGUUAGCGAUUAAUGCACAUGUACGAGUGAACGGUUCAAUUCUUUUCCGUAUGCUACCCGUUAUGCUGCACUGCGGACAAAAGUCUGUGAGCACUCUGGCAUUCCUCGAUGAAGGUGCGUCGGUAACACUGAUUGAGCAGCAUUUGGCGGAUAAAAUUGGCGCAAGCGGCGUGAAUCUCCCGUUAACAAUCAACUGGACUUCAGAUAUUUCCAGAACUGAAAGCGACUCGAUCUGCACAAAUUUAUGGAUUUCAUCCCCUGGAAGCAACGAGAAGAAUCUGCUGAAGACGGUGCAGACGGUUCGUGAGUUGCUUCUUCCUGCACAAUCACUUGAAUCCACGGAAAUGGCGAAGCGAUAUGCUUUUCUGCGUGACGUGCCUUUCCUUUCCUAUCAAAGUGGGCGCCCAGGACUAUUGAUCGGGCUAAACAAUAUCCACGUCAUUGCACCAAUCGAAACCAAACUAGGUGGACCGGGAGAACCAAUCGCGGUGAAAUCAAAACUAGGCUGGACCGUGUAUGGUCCACAAAUGGGAGAAACUAUAAGCGAAGCCUUAGUGGGUCAUCACGCAGUGAGCAACCAAGCAAUUCAUGAUCUCAUAAAAGUGCAUUAUGCCCUCGAAGAAUCGGCGACAGCUGUACUCCAAGAAUCGAAGGAAGAUCGAAGAGCCCGUGACAUCCUGGAACGGACGACGAAACGCAUAGGAGACCGUUUUGAGACGGGACUUCUAUGGAGAGCUGACGAUAUAGUGUUCCCGAAUAGCUUCCCGAUGGCCCUUCGGCGUUUGGAACAUCUGGAACGACGUUUAGAAAAAACACCUGAAUUGUACGAGAUUGUAAGACAACAAGUGAUCGAAUACCAGAACAAGGGGUACGCGCAUCGAGCAACGACUGAAGAACUGACCAAAAUGGAUCGUCGCAGGAUGUGGUAUCUGCCUUUGAACGUGGUUCUAAACCCAAAGAAGCCCGGCAAAGUUCGCCUGGUGUGGGAUGCGGCGGCACGCGUCGAUGGCGUUUCUCUAAACUCGCAGCUCCUAAAAGGACCCGAUUUGCUGACUGCAUUACCGGAAAUCGUAUGCCGCUUUCGAGAGCGACCGGUUGCCUUUGGUGGAGACAUCAGAGAGAUGUACCACCAAUUGAGAAUACGCGAGGUGGAUAAAUCGGCUCAGCUAUUUCUGUUCAGAGCGAAACGUACAGAUGAACCGGCCAUCUACAUAAUGGAUGUUGCCACAUUUGGCGCCACAAGUUCUCCGUGUUCUGCUCAGUUCAUAAAGAACCUGAAUGCUCUUGAAUUCUCCAACGAGUUUCCAAGCGCAGCGGAAGCAAUCAUCAAAAGCCACUAUGUCGAUGAUUAUUUCGACAGUGUGGACUGCGUAGCAGAAGCUGUUCAACGAGCGAAAGAUGUGGCACACGUGCAUGCAAAAGGAGGAUUCCUAAUUAGAAAUUGGGUGUCCAACUCUGAGGAAGUGCUUCGCAACCUCGGAGAACAGGAAGUUACCACCAAGGUUCGUUUGACGCAGGACAAAAGCAUCGAAACCGAACGCAUCCUGGGAAUCGUAUGGAAUCCGACUGAGGACACCUUCGCGUUUUCUGCAAAUCACCGACAGGAUCUUGAGGAGUUUCUCGUAGGAGACGAAAGACCUACAAAGCGUAUCAUCCUCAGCUGUGUAAUGGGAUUUUUUGACUCCCAAGGUAUGUUUUCUCAUUACACGGUGCACGGUAAGCUUAUUGUGCAAAACCUAUGGCGACUGGGUUAUGAUUGGGACGAAACAGUGAACGACGAUACUUGGGCAGAUUGGAAGCGAUGGACUGCUCUUUUACCAUGCGUGGAAUCAGUAAGAAUUCCACGGGCCUAUUUCGGUAGUCUACGAUCAGACGAAAUCGAUUUCCUCGAAUUACACGUGUUCACUGACGCUAGUGAACAUGCGUAUGGAACAGUGGCGUACUUCAGAGCAACGGUGAACGGAACGUACAAGUGUGCGUUAGCCAUGUCACGAUCGAAGGUAGCACCACUAAAAAGGCAAUCAAUUCCCCGGCUGGAGCUUUUGGCUGCGGUAUUGGGAGCUCGACUAUUGCGCACUGUCGAAUCUAGUCACACACUGCCUGUUCAUCGACGAUUUCUGUGGACAGACUCACAAACUGUGUUAAGCUGGAUUCGUUCAGAUCAAUACAAAUAUAAACAAUUUGUUGCCUUUAGAAUCGGAGAGAUUCAUGAAUUAACCAACAUUGCAGAUUGGCGCUGGGUACCAAGUAACCAAAAUAUCGCAGACGUUCUGACCAAAUGGGGCCAAGGACCCCCACUUGAAUCAAAUGGUCCGUGGUUUGCAGGUCCACAGUUCUUGUAUCAACCUGAAGAGAACUGGCCAAUUCAAAAACUUCCGCUGACCAAUAUUGCCGAAGAAAUGCGUGCUCAUUUGCUGUUCCACGACACAACUAGUCACGAAUUACCACUAAUUCACGUUCAUUUGAUGUCACAGUGGACUCGCAUCGUCAGAGCAACUUCUUACGCGCUAAGGUUUGCUGCAAAUUGUCGUCGCAAGCAAAAGGGCGAACCGAUUUGGACUACGAAGGCAGUUGGGAGUCGGACGAAAUUGCUAAAAUUACAAUGGCCCAACAUCUGCUGGCCGUUACAACAAGAAGAGUUCCUGAAAGCAGAAACAGUGUUAUGGAAACAGGCCCAAUUCGCUGGUUUCCCGGACGAAGUAUGUACGUUGAAGCGAGCACAGAAAACGAAUGUAACAUCGGCGAAAAUUGAAAAAGGAAGUCUUCUGUAUAAAUUGACUCCCGUUAUGGACGACAAUGGAGUCAUACGUGUAGGAGGCAGGCUGGAAAAGGCGGAAUUUCUGCCAUUCGAUACCAAAUUUCCAAUCAUCCUUCCUAAAGAUGACGUCAUCACAAAAAGAUUGGUGCAACACUAUCAUGAGCAGUUCGGACACGCAAACCGCGAAACAGUGUUUAAUGAAAUGAGGCAACGCUUCUACGUUCCAAAACUGCGUUCCGUAAUUCUGAAAGUUAUGAACGACUGCAUCUGGUGUCGGGUCUACCGAUGCUCACCCAAAAUUCCCAAGGAAGCACCACUACCUGUUCCACGUGUGACGGCCCACCUGCGACCAUUCAGUUCAGUUGGAGUUGACUAUCUUGGGCCGAUAGAGGUUACAGUUGGGCGACGGAAGGAGAAAAGAUAUGUCGCCUUAUUCACUUGCUUGGCAAUAAGGGCAGUUCACGUUGAGGUGGUCUUCAGCUUAACUGCCCAGGCAUGCCUAAUGGCGAUUCGGCGAUUUUGCUGUAGAAGAGGCGUUCCAGAGGAAUUUGUAUCCGACAACGCUACGAACUUCAAAAGUGCUAGUAAAGAGCUGGCUAAAACCAUCAAUGACGAAUGCGCUGAUCGCGUCACCAGUUCCAGGACUAAAUGGACCUUCAUUCCUCCCGGUACCCCACACAUGGGAGGGGCCUGGGAAAGAAUGGUCCGUUCAGUGAAAGAAGCUCUACACGUUUUUGAUGAUGGCAGAAAAUUGACCGACGAAAUUCUUCUUACAACCUUGGCAGAAGCUGAGGACAUGAUUAACUCUCGUCCGCUAACUUAUGUCCCUCAGGAAUCCGCAGAAAUAGAAGCAAUCUCACCGAAUCAUUUUUUGCGAGGUGCAGUACGGGCCGAAGAUUUAGAGGUUGAUCAGGUCAUCGACUUUGCAGGAACGCUUCGAGAUGUCUACAAGAGAUCACAAUAUCUUGCCGAUCAACUCUGGAUUCGCUGGUCAAAGGAGUAUUUGCCGUCCAUAAACCAUCGUACAAAAUGGUUUGAGGACAAGGGUUCGAUCCGAGCAGGAGAUCUAGUAUUCGUGGCAGAUGGACGCAUUCGAAAGUCGUGGACAAGAGGAAUUGUCGAAGAGGUAUUUCCAGGAUCUGAUGGUCGAGUUCGGCAAGUCACUGUGAGGACAUCUGGUGGCGUGUUCAAGCGUGCAACCGUAAACUUGGCAGUGCUGGAGAUUAGAGACGGUAAAUCCGGAACGGCCGGGGGUUCCGCACCGGAGUUACGGCCGGGGGAAUGUGCUGGCACCACUGCUAAGGGACAGGCGAAAUCGAAAGGUUUGACAGACUUGACAUUAUGAAGACAUCUGUCAAAGCAGAAUGAGACGACAAAAAUAUGAAAACUAAACCAGGUUGGAAGUAAUUAAAAUUGUUCCUUAAAUUUGUUGAAAUUAUCGUUAUAGAAUUACAGCUAUAUUUUCCUUAAAAGUAGUAAACGAAGAAUUGAAUUAAAACUACGUAAGUUACUAUGGUUUGAACUUAAAUCUAGGACGGGCAGAGAACAUUAAUUUAUAAACUAAAAUUUGUUACCUAUUCCUUAGUGAUUUGGAGAAUAGUGGCUUACCACUACCUUAAAUCAAACCAAACUGUAAUUAUCUGGCAUAAUUCCGAUCCAAAAUCGUGAAACUUGCUAGGUAAAAUCAGUCUACAACUACACUGUCCGCAGCACGAGGUUGGCAGAAAUAAACUACUUCUUGUGAGUUACUUUGAUGUUACCUACAUGAACAAUCAAAAUUAUAAUAAAUAAAUAUUUAGUUUUAGCUUCUACAAAAGCUGCUGGAAAAAAUAUAGUGUUUCUGACACCAGUCCGAACAA